UGUCAGCUGGCCCUGGCAGAACACACUGAAACAACAGAGAUCCCUCCUUAAGACUUUGAGCCCUCCAAUAAAAGGAAGGAGGAAUUAUUGCUCAAAUGUCCCUCUUAAUUCAAGAGCCACGUGUGCAGCUUUAACUGAAGAGAGUUUUGUGGGGCCUGCAGAUGAAAGGAGAUCCGCCAGCAGAGACGACACGAUCGCAGUAAUGUGUAAACACAGGAGAGCAGGAGUGGUCCGGCUUGUGAUUAAUUCCAAGGAGAUGGUAUUUCAGCAUUCUCCUUGCUUUUACUCAAGCCAGGGAGACAGAGCAGGUCUGGUAAGCACUGGGGCCAGGGCCAAGUGUCAAAAUGCCGCUCAUGUUUUUUUGUCUCCCAGUCCUGGGACAAAAGCAGAGGACCACAUUUGGAUCUUGUCCAAAAGGCCAAGAGUGUUUUACUAAUAUGAUUAAACAGUGUGCGUGUUUGGACUUUGAAACCCUCUUCCCAUAAAGAAACACCAACCCCCAAAUAAAAUAUAAAGUGACUGUGUUGACUGACAGCAGGUGUUAUUUCAGAACGGGGGCUGUAAAUUGUUCCCCUCAAGGGCUUCAGAGUGAAAAUGAACCUGAAAGAACUUCUGGGUAAAUGUGGCAGAAGAGUCUCUCAUGAAUCUCCAUCUGCUCUCUUCCAAAACUUUACUAAAAACAACUAUACAGGAGUAGAAAGAGUUACAGAUCCACAAGGUCUAUGGAAACAGGAGAGAAGAUGGCAGCAGACAAAGGAUGGAACACAUUUUUGGAAGGUGGGAAGCAGAGGAAGGAGUGAAAACCUUCAGGCACAACCCUUUCCUCCCAGGAUGGUGACUACAGGACACUUUUCUGUAGAAGCUGAGUAAACUCAAGGGAAAGACCUACAGAUACAGACAUGAUAUGGAGACAGACCCUCAAUGGAAGACCCAGCUCAUGACCAACUCCCCUCUACGGGGAAGUCCACUGUUUGAAAGCUCCACCCAAGCAUGCUGACCAGCGAAUCAUUGCUUCAAAGCAUAAUUCUUUGAUAUUAUCAGAGAGCCAAGAUCCCAUUUAAGGAAAGCAUCAGAUGUGAGAAAUGGGGAGGGGAAGGAGAAGAAGAAUGUCUAAGUUCAGGGAGAGGAAAGCUUUAAAAAUGCUAUAAAAAUCCCCAGGGAGAGAAAAUAAGGUUUCUAUUUCAAGAUUCAUUACCCACAAAAUGUCAGAACACCAGAGAUACAGAAAAGACCCUAAAAGGACCCAGACAGAAAAAACAGGUCAAUUGAGAGUAUCAGGGAUCAGAAUGGCACCAGACUUCUCAAAACCAACACUGGAACCUGGGAGAUAAUGGAGUGAGGCCUUUAGAACUCUAAGUGAGAAUUUUUUAUAGCUUAGAAAUAUAAACCCAAACCAUUAAUUAGGAGAAACAGUAGAAUAAGAAAUGUUUUCAGACAAAAGAGAUCACAAAUAAUGGGCCUCUCAUGCUCCCUUUCUCAGGAAGUUCUCCACCCAAACAAAAGAAUAAUUCAAGGAUGAGGGGUGCCUGGGUGGUCAGUCAGUUGAGCAUGACUCCUGAUUUGGGCUCAGAUCAUGAUGUCAGGGUCACGGGGUCAAGCCCCACAUCAGGAUCUGUGCUCCAUAGGAAGUCUGUUUAUCUUUCUCCCUCUGCUCCUCUCCUCCCUCUCUCUAAAAUUAAAACAAUAACAACAACAACAAACAUUCCAAAGAUGAGGAUGACAUGCCCAGGAGAGCAAAAGGGUACCCAAGGUGAUGCUGAAGGAGAGCCCUAAUGACAGUAAGGUGGAAAGCCCAGGGGCAAGAGCUCUGCUCUGAGCCAGAGGAUGAGAACUUCAUGUGAGAGAUGGUCAGAUUACUUGACAGGUAUGCCCAGGUAGAAAAUUAUGUUGAAGGGCUAUUAGACAGUUGUAAGAAUUAGGAAUAAGUUCUUUUAAAAACUGAGUAAAUA